rnacentral:lncRNA from 1 species
CUUCAUCUAAUUUACAUCUAUUUAUAAUAAGAAGUAGGACACUAUUCGGACUUCAAACAAGCUUGAGUCCGUUACAUUAUUACAAAAGAUAAAUAAUUAAACUACUUUGUCAAAAAGAAAAGAUUCUUGUCCGCCACUUUGUCCAAUAAUUAAACUACUUUGUCAAAAAGAAAAGAUUCUUGUCCGCCACUUUGUCCAUUCUUAUCAUCUUAUUUUGUCUUCUUGUUUUGUCUAUUAUUCUUGUCCAUUACUUUGUUCAU